rnacentral:rRNA from 1 species
GAUAAACGCUGGCGGCGUGCUUCAGGCAUGCAAGUCGAACGGACCUUCGGGUCAGUGGCGGACGGGUGAGUAACACGUAAGUAACCUGCCCAGAGGUGGGGAAUAACUAGCCGAAAGGUUGGCUAAUACCGCAUGUGAUGGUCGGUCUCUGGACUGGUCAUUAAAGAUUUAUCGCUUCUGGAGGGGCUUGCGGUCGAUUAGCUAGUUGGUGGGGUAAUGGCCUACCAAGGCGACGANCGAUAGCUGGUCUGAGAGGACGGUCAGCCACACGGGGACUGAGAUACGGCCCCGACUCCUACGGGAGGCAGCAGCUAGGAAUCUUGGGAAUGGGCGAAAGCCUGACCCAGCAACGCCGCGUGGGCGAUGAAGGCCUUCGGUCGUAA